UGGGUGGGUGAACAGACGAAUGGAGAUGGAUGAGUGGACAAUACAGACUAAUAGAUUAGAUAGAUAGGCAACUGAUGGGAUGAAUAGAUAGUCUAAACAGAUAGAUUGAUGAAUAUAGAUAUACUGAUGCAUAGAUAAAUAGAUAAUAAUCAAUGGAUGGAUAAGUAAAUAGAUAGAUUUAUAGGUAGAAAAGAGAUUUAUAGGCAGAAAGAAGAUUUAUAGGUAGAAAAGAUAGGUAGAAAAGAGAUUUAUAGGUAGUAAAGAAAUUUAUAGGUAAAAAAGAAAUUUAUAGGUAGAAAAGAGAAUGAAUAGAAGGAUUAAAAUAUAGAGAUAGCGAGGACAUGUAAAUAAAUAGACUGGAUAAAUAGAUCCUUUCUGGCAGUAAUGAGCAUCAUACCAAGAGCUGCUCUCAAAGAUUGAGAUUGUCUUCAAGCAACCUAUAAGCCAUUGCUGAAGCAGAUUAUGGAGGAGAUAGUGAACCCAGAGCCACCAGAUUCUGGCGAUAUUGAACACGUGUCUUCGGGCCUCAGCGACCUACUUAAAACGGGAUUUAGCAUGUUCAUGAAGGUUAUUGUGCCAUCCUUGGGACUCCUGAACCCACUCAACAUUCCGGAGCUGUUAUUGGCAACGGAUCGACUUCAUCCAGACAUUGGCAUCUGAGCCAGAACCAUCUCCUAGAUGAUGAUAAGACUUAGCCGGUCUGGAAAGACCUGCUCUAUUGUCUGUCAUGCGUUGAGAUACAUUUCCAAAACUGAGCCUACCCUGGUACUACUAGUAGGAAGAAUUGAAUCUUGCCCUGAAGGCCUUCGAUAAUGGGGAGGGGGGGAGGGGGGGAAUGUUCUGUUGCUAAGACUGUUGCAACGUUAUGUUGCCAAGAUUAUUGAAAUGUUAUAUUAUUGAGAUUGUUACUGGUUUUAAAAUUUUUUCUUUUUCUGUUUCUGAAGUUGAGAUGUUAUAUUGAAAUUGUUACUGAUUUUAAAAAAAAAUUCUUUUUCUGUUUCUAAAGCUUAAAGAUGUUAUAUUGUUUGAGAUUGUUACUGGUUUAAAAUAAAAAUUCUUUUUCUGUUUCUAAA